UGGGGAAUAUUGCACAAUGGGGGAAACCCUGAUGCAGCCAUGCCGCGUGUGUGAAGAAGGCCUUCGGGUUGUAAAGCACUUUCAGUCAGGAGGAAAGGUGGCUAGCUAAUAUCUAGUUGCUGUGACGUUACUGACAGAAGAAGCACCGGCUAACUCCGUGCCAGCAGCCGCGGUAAUACGGAGGGUGCAAGCGUUAAUCGGAAUUACUGGGCGUAAAGCGCACGCAGGCGGCUUGUUAAGUCAGAUGUGAAAGCCCCGGGCUCAACCUGGGAACUGCAUUUGAAACUGACAAGCUAGAGUCUUGUAGAGGGGGGUAGAAUUCCAGGUGUAGCGGUGAAAUGCGUAGAGAUCUGGAGGAAUACCGGUGGCGAAGGCGGCCCCCUGGACAGAGACUGACGCU
rnacentral:rRNA from 1 species